rnacentral:lncRNA from 1 species
GAAGUUGAAUCAGAGAUAACCUCGUCCGGAAUCUCCACCGUAUGCUUCUCAUCCUUCGCUGACACAUCGAUGUCGUAUUUCUGCAAAACCUUCUUAUCUUUGGCCGCUGAGACCCAACUCUUCAAGUCCAGAACUUUCUUGUCUACCCCAUCUUCCUCCCGAUCUACUAGAACCUCCUCUCGAACAACCACAACCUCCUCACGAUUAACCUCAACCCCCUUGCACACCAAAUCACUACCCAAGAAGAUCAGAUCGAUCCGGCGGAAUA